rnacentral:snRNA from 1 species
AGGACCAUCUAGUACAAGAAGAU